rnacentral:lncRNA from 10 species
AUCGCCCCCUGGCGGGGAGGCGGGCCCUGGGAAGAGCUCCGGGCUCCUGGAGAUCUGGUAACACUCGCCGAAACCAGUGCUUCCUGGGACCUAGUUUGGAAAAGCUGGUUGUGAAAUACAUACUGCGGUUCAGCCUCCUCCCGCCUAAGAGCAACAAUGCCUGUGAGCAUAACCUUACCAAGAAGCGUGAAUCAUAUGAUAAUUACAUAUGGCACCCACAUAUCCAGAGGAGAACAGCACGGUGUGAGCCCUCAUCAAAUUGUCCAAGCCAGAAACCUAGGCCUUUUCCUGGAAUGACGUUCCUCCACAGGUCUCUAAUAGGUGGACCCCUGCAGCAUUCACCCAGCUUUUUCACUGCGCCUGAAUAGAAGAUGCCCUUUCAGGCCAGGCGCAGUGGCUCACACCUGUAAUCCCAGCACUUUGGGAGGCCGAGGCGGGUGGAUCACGAGGUCAAGAGAUCGAGACCAUCCUGGCCAACAUGGUGAAACCCCGUCUCUAAUAAAAAUAAAAAUAAAAAAAAUUAGCUGGGUGUGGUGGUGCAUGCCUUGUAGUCCCAGCUGCUCGGGAGGCUGAGGCAGAAGAAUUGCUUCAACCCAGGAGAUGGAGGUUGCAGUGAGCCAAGAUCGCACCACUGCACUCCAGCCUGGUGACCCAGAAAGACUUCAUCUAAAAAAAAAGUUGCCCUUUCAUAACUGUUACCUCUGGACGUACUCUUUCUAGAAAGUCCUGCCCUUCGCUGUGCUAUCCCUGAAGAUCAGCACAAAUGUCAUCUCCAAGAGGAAGCCUGGAGCACCCACCAUCACCAUCACCACCCACAGAUGGACAAAAUUACCAAUAGUCUCCUCUCUCAGGUUUCCCAUAUAAUUACCUUUAUUACACUUAACAUAAAUAAGAUAGCCUCUCCACCUCUUUUUUUCAGUUAAAUGAUCCAACCAACUAAACUUUAAUUCAAUCGACUAUCGUUUGGCCACAAAUACUAUAUUCACUCUUUCUCUAAUCGAAUCAGAACUUGAAUGUCAAUAUCAUCCCUAAACCUUAUCAUCCACCCUCCCAUUAUCCAGCAUCCACCUCCUGAACUCAGUCACGGCCUCCAAAUACUAUAGCCAGCUCCCAGAAUUAAAAGGUUGAGCCUCAAAUUCUCAGAAAAGUUUAACAAGAAAAACAACUAGAAAGAAGGAGAUUUAUCCUAAAAGUCUGAUAUACUGUUCUGUAGAAUUUUCCCCUAAGUUCCAAGAUGAUAACUUCCUCUUUCAGCCUUAAUUCUCAGCGAAAAUACCCACAAAACUAAAAGCUACUGCUUUAAGCUCUUAAAUUUUAUCAGCAAAAUGAGGCUGAGGACCCGAGCCCACGCAAAUGGUGAAACUUUAAGAAAGAAGAAUAAAUAGAACAAAAAAGAAUGAUUGUUCUAGUUAUUCUUCCCUGAUUGAGACAUUAUGGUUUGUUUUUCCAAUAGGUUUUGUCAUAAAGGAGGAAAUAGGCAUAUUACAGAAAAGUUUGAAAAGAAAUGUAAAUAAAUAAAAAGUUCACUCAACAUGAACACAUAAGUAACAUAACUAUUAAUGUUUGCAAGUUCCCUUCCAAUAUUUUAUGUGCACAUAGAUCUGUAUAUAUUUAGCAAUUUUAAUCAAACUUUGCAUCCCAUUUGAUGACUUUUUUUCCAUUUAAGUUUUUUUUUCUGUUUUUGUUUUUGAGACGGAGUCUGGCUCUGUCUUCCAGGCUGGAGUAGUGCAAUGGUGCGAUCUCGGCCCACUGCAACCUCCGCCGGCUGGGUUCAAGUGAUUCUCC